rnacentral:rRNA from 1 species
UUCGAUGCAACGACGAAGAACCUUACCAGGCCUUGACAUGCAGAGAACUUUCCAGAGAUGGAUUGGUGCCUUCGGGAACUCUGACACAGGUGCUGCAUGGCUGUCGUCGGCUCGUGUCGUGAGAUGUUGGGUUAAGUCCCGUAACGAGCGCAACCCUUGUCCUUAGUUACCAGCACGUUAUGGUGGGCACUCUAAGGAGACUGCCGGUGACAAACCGGAGGAAGGUGGGGAUGACGUCAAGUCAUCAUGGCCCUUACGGCCUGGGCUACACACGUGCUACAAUGGUCGGUACAAAGGGUUGCCAAGCCGCGAGGUGGAGCUAAUCCCAUAAAACCGAUCGUAGUCCAGAUCGCAGUCUGCAACUCGACUGCGUGAAGUCGGAAUCGCUAGUAAUCGUGAAUCAGAAUGUCGCGGUGAAUACGUUCCCGGGCCUU